rnacentral:rRNA from 1 species
GACGAACGCUGGCGGCGUGCUUAACACAUGCAAGUCGAACGGUGAAGCGCCUUCCUUUUUGGUGGGUGUGGAUGAGUGGCGAACGGGUGAGUAACACGUGAGUAACCUGCCCCCUUCUCCUGGAUAACCGCAUGAAAGUGUGGCUAAUACGGGAUAUUCUGGGUCUGUCGCAUGAUGGGUCUGGGAAAGAUAUUGUUUCGGUGGGGGAUGGGCUCGCGGCCUAUCAGCUUGUUGGUGGGGUGAUGGCCUACCAAGGCGGUGACGGGUAGCCGGCCUGAGAGGGUGGACGGUCACACUGGGACUGAGACACGGCCCAGACUCCUACGGGAGGCAGCAGUGGGGAAUAUUGCACAAUGGGCGCAAGCCUGAUGCAGCGACGCCGCGUGAGGGAUGGAGGCCUUCGGGUUGUGAACCUCUUUCGCCAGUGAAGCAGGCCUGCCUCGUUUGUGGGUGGGUUGACGGUAGCUGGAUAAGAAGCGCCGGCUAACUACGUG